AUGUGAUGAACCCCUAGAUGACGAGUCUUAUUGAGUUUCUCAUGCAGACAACAACUUAUUUAUACCAUUCAUGCCUUACUGACC
rnacentral:snoRNA from 1 species